UGAUGCAGCAACGCCGCGUGAGUGAUGAAGGUUUUCGGAUCGUAAAGCUCUGUCUUUGGGGAAGAUAAUGACGGUACCCAAGGAGGAAGCCACGGCUAACUACGUGCCAGCAGCCGCGGUAAUACGUAGGUGGCGAGCGUUAUCCGGAUUUACUGGGCGUAAAGGGAGCGUAGGCGGAUGAUUAAGUGGGAUGUGAAAUACCCGGGCUCAACUUGGGUGCUGCAUUCCAAACUGGUUAUCUAGAGUGCAGGAGAGGAGAGUGGAAUUCCUAGUGUAGCGGUGAAAUGCGUAGAGAUUAGGAAGAACACCAGUGGCGAAGGCGACUCUCUGGACUGUAACUGACGCUGAGGCUCGAAAGCGUGGGGAGCAAACAGGAUUAGAAACCCCGGUAG
rnacentral:rRNA from 1 species